CGGCCGCCGGGACGGCCCGGGACUGACGGCCCCGGGACAGGGGUGACCGUCGCGGCUGCGGGAGCAGAGGCGAAGCUGAGGCCCGGGAAGAGGCGACAGCGGCGAGAGCACCCGGGGAGAGGAGGAGGUGAGAAGAUGGCGUCGGAGAUGGAGCCCGAGGUGCAGGCCAUCGACCGCAGUUUGCUGGAAUGUUCUGCCGAGGAGAUCGCAGGGAAAUGGCUGCAAGCAACCGACCUCACCAGAGAAGUAUACCAGCAUUUAGCCCAUUGUGUGCCCAAAAUCUACUGCCGGGGCCCCAACCCUUUCCCUCAGAAGGAAGACACACUGGCACAGCACAUCUUGCUGGGACCAAUGGAGUGGUAUAUCUGCGGCGAAGACCCUGCGCUGGGGUUUCCAAAGCUGGAGCAGGCGAACAAGCCUUCUCACCUCUGUGGCCGAGUGUUUAAAG
rnacentral:lncRNA from 1 species